GGAAGGAUCAUUAACACGUGAUACUCACGUAUUUAAAUUCACCGUGAAUUUGUUUUCUAACCUAUUGUUGAUUGUAAAUAGAUUAUAUAAGGGAAUACUAUUGACCGCCUUUCGAAAGAUUGUACGUCAUAACUUAUAUAGUCGUUCUUUGGUCCGCCCAGGAGUUUGCACCAAAUAAAUAGAUGAUGAAUUACGACUGCUUAUUAAGCCUGUAGUAUAGCUUGCAGCUCGUAGUGAACUUAUUAACCCCUUUCUAUUAUUUAAUGAUUUGUAUGUUUAUAUGAAUUCCUGAUCUUCGGAUUGGUUGAGUUUAUGUAGAUGUCGUAUAUUACUAAUACGAAACAACUCUUAGCAACGGAUAUCUUGGUUCUCGUAACGAUGAAGAGCGCAGCGAAAUGCGAUACGUAAUGCGAAUUGCAGAAUUCAGUGAAUCAUCAAAUUCUUGAACGCAACUGGCGCCUUCAGGUCUACCUGGAGGCACGUUUCUCUCAGUGUCGGUUAUACUCUCUCCAUCAACUAAGUUUACUUAGUCUGUGUGGGAAUAUGAGCGUUAUGAUGUUAAAGUUAUAUCGCUUGAAAUCGAAUGAAGUUAGUUUCUCAUAGUUGGUGUUACUUUUCGGAGUUAAUACCGCUGUUUUCAACUUAGUGAUGUGGGUAAAUCAUUUUCGGAUGAUACUUUACGUCUAUACUAUAUUGUUUAUGGUUUACUGUGAGGAUAUUAGCGAAAAAUAGUAAUGGCUGGACUUCGGUUCAACUGUUCUCAUAUUUUGACCUGAGAUGAAGCGAGGCUACCCGCGGAAUUUAAGCAUAUUAUUACGCGGAGGAAAAGAAACUAACAAGGAUUCCCCUAGUAACGGCGAGUGAAGCGGGAAGAGCUCAAGUUUAAAAUCGAUGUGCUUUUGUACGUCGAGUUGUAGUCUCGAGACAGGCUGUCUGUGGUGACGUCGGUACAAGUACCUUGGAAGAGGUUAUCAGAGAGGGUGACAAUCCCGUCGCUGACCGACAGUUCGCCACUUUCGACGUUUGUUCACAGAGUCGGAUUGCUUGGGAGUGCAGUCCUAAUUGGGUGGUAAAUUUCAUCUAAAGCUAAAUAUUGACGAGAGACCGAUAGCGAACAAGUACCGUGAGGGAAAGAUGAAAAGAACUUUGAAAAGAGAGUCAAAAAGUACUUGAACUUGUUAAGAGGGGAGAGUUGAAAACUAGUGUUACUUGUAGUUACUUUCCCGCUCUGACUGAAACGUGUGCUUACUGGGAGUUUAAACCUCAGUGGGUAUUUGAAUUAGUUGGAGUGGUCCCUGUAAUUAUGAGUGGUCAGCAUCAUUUCGAAGCGUGGGAGAAAGUUGUGUGGAAGGUAGGGUCUUCGGAUCUGUUAUAGACAUGCAGCUAUACCAUGCUUUGGAUUGAGGAUGUAUCGGCGCUCCGUUUUACGGAGUAACCACCUGUUUCCUCAUAUGUUCUAGUUGCUGGAAAACAAUGUUUUGCUGUGAUUAGGAUGUGUGACUGAGAUGGGGCGUUACUGCGCCGACGCGAUGCUGACGAAAUGGUUUUCAUCUACCCGUCUUGAAACACGGACCAAGGAGUCUAACAUAUAUGCGAGUAUUUGGGUGGAAAACCCUGGUGCGUAAUGAAAGUAAAGGACAUGUAUUUGUCUGAGGUAGGAAUCCCGCAAGGGAGGCACUAUCGACCGAUCGUCACUUGUGAAAGAUUUGAGUAAGAGCAUAUCUGUUGGGACCCGAAAGAUGGUGAUCUAUGCCUGAACAGGGUGAAGCCAGGGGAAACUCUGGUGGAGGCUCGUAGCGAUACUGACGUGCAAAUCGUUCGUCUGAUUUGGGUAUAGGGGCGAAAGACUAAUCGAACUAUCUAGUAGCUGGUUCCCUC
rnacentral:misc_RNA from 1 species